rnacentral:rRNA from 1 species
AAAGCCUAAUUAAUACCGCAUAAAGUUCACCACCCGGCUGAAUGAAAGCAGGGGACAGUUGCCUUGUGCUCUAAGAUUGGUUGAUGUCCGAUUAGUUUGUUGGAAAGGUAAAAGCUUCCCAAGGCGAUGAUCGGUAGCUGGUCUGAGAGGACGGCCAGCCACACUGGGACUGAGACACGGCCCAGACUUCUAAGGAAGGCAGCAGUGAGGAAUCUUGGACAAUGGGCGAAAGCCUGAUCCAGCAAUGCCGCGUGUGCGAUGAAGGCCCUUGGGUUGUAAAGCACUUUUGUUCGGAAAGAAAGCUGCCCAACUAACAAUUUGGCAGUGUGACUGUACCGGAAGAAUAAGCACCGGCAAACUACGUGCCAGCAGCCGCGGUAAUACGUAGGGUGCAAGCGUUAAUCAGAUUUAUUGGGCGUAAAGGGUGUGCAGGCUGUCUAUUAAGAUUGCUGUUAAAGGCUAAGGCUCAACCUUAGAAUGCGGCAGUUACUGUUAGACUAGAGUACGAUAGGGGGAGGUAGAAUUCCGCAUGUAGCAGUGAAAUGUGUAGAGAUGUGGAGGAAUACCAAAAGCGAAGGCAGCCUCCUGGUUCGUUACUGACGCUCAGACACUAAAGCAUGGGGAGCAAACAGGAUUAGAUACCCUGGUAGUCCAUGCCCUAAACGAUGUUGACUAGCUAUUGGGUAGUUUCCUUUUCAGUAGUGCAGCUAACGCGCAAGUCAACCGCCUGGGGAGUACGGCCGCAAGGUUAAAACUCAAAGGAAUUGACGGGGACCCGCACAAGCAGUGGAUGAUGUGGAUUAAUUCGAUGCAACGCGAAAAACCUUACCUACCUUUGACAUGGCUAAGAUCCUACUGAGAGGUGGGAGUGCUUGAAAGAGAAUUAGCGCACAGGUGCUGCAUGGCUGUCGUCAGCUCGUGUCGUGAGAUGUUGGGUUAAGUCCUGUAACGAGCGCAACCCCUGUCUUUAAUUGCUACUGGAUUUGGCAGUUACCUUAAAGAGACUGCCAGCGAUAAGUUGGAGGAAGGUGGGGAUGACGUCAAGUCCUCAUGGCCUUUAUGGGUGGGGCUUCACACAUCAUACAAUGGUCGGACCAAAGAGUUGCCAACUUGCGAAAGGGAGCCAAUCUCACAAAGCCGGCCUCAGUUCGGAUUGUACUCUGAAACUCGAGUGCAUGAAGUUGGAAUUGCUAGUAAUCGUGGAUCAGCAU